rnacentral:rRNA from 1 species
GAUGAACGCUGGCGGCGUGCCUAAUACAUGCAAGUCGAGCGAACGGACGAGAAGCUUGCUUCUCUGAUGUUAGCGGUGGACGGGUGAGUAACACGUGGAUAACCUACCUAUAAGACUGGGAUAACUUCGGGAAACCGGAGCUAAUACCGGAUGAUCUUUUGAACCGCAUGGUUCAAAAGUGAAAGACGGUCUUGCUGUCACUUAUAGAUGGAUCCGCGCUGCAUUAGCUAGUUGGUAAGGUAACGGCUUACCAAGGCAACGAUGCAUAGCCGACCUGAGAGGGUGAUCGGCCACACUGGAACUGAGACACGGUCCAGACUCCUACGGGAGGCAGCAGUAGGGAAUCUUCCGCAGUGGGCGAAAGCCUGACGGAGCAACGCCGCGUGAGUGAUGAAGGUCUUCGGAUCGUAAAACUCUGUUAUUAGGGAAGAACAGAUGUGUAAGUAACUGUGCACAUCUUGACGGUACCUAAUCAGAAAGCCACGGCUAACUACGUG